AGUGCAUCAGAAGGGACAGUACACACCAUCUUUCAUUCCCACCAUUCUUUGUGAAGAGGAAUCCAAAUGUUCUUUGGCCUGAGUUCUUAUGGGUGCCUUGAGCCAUCCUAGGAGGCAUCCCAAGUAACAACAUUAAGAACGUAUAAAUGUUUGAACUGUGCAGACUUCUUGUUGUGAGAAAAAAAGCCUGCAGCCAAUGAGAUAGAAAUGGAGAGAAGGGCAAUAGCAGCUUGCACAUGUCAAGGAUCUGCAGCGCAUGAAACCCCUGAAGAUGAUGGAGGGUCCCUGAUGCAAUUUCCUGAAGCCAAGAGAUGUCAGCACUCGCAGUCAGCCGCUUUAUCAUCCAUUGCUCCAUUAACCUCAUCCACCUGGUCAACACAAUUCAAACAUACCAGAUACAGACUCAGUUAAAACAGAUAUGGGUGCAAGUCAUGACACUUUUACAGAUUAAAGAUGUCCGAGAUUCACGAUGAAUGCUGUUUGAAGAAGAAUGAACAGAAUCACAUUUUAAUUUAAUCUCACUGCCAAUGUGGACUUAAAGAGGACAGGCUCUGUUAUGACAACUGUAUUUUUAAGUAACAGAGAUAAGGGUGUUAAGGGAAUCAUUUCAAUAAAAUAUGGGAGUACCGGUACAUACCAGUUUGAUAUCUUGAUUAGACUGGGAAUUUAACAAAAAUGGUAGAUAUUGGACCUCUCUAAUAUACAUUUAUAAACAUCUCAUGUCUUAAGUCAAUAACAAAGCUGUAAUAAGGCGAUAUUUAGUGUAAUUAACACUUAGGGCUAUUCUUCUAAAACAUAUAACCACCGGGUUUGGCAGAUUUUUAAUAAUAUAUGGGUGGGCUUUUUUGCUAAUUUGCACCCCAAAAGGCACAUUUGCUUUUGUAUGGGGUUGGCAUAAAAACUUAAUAAAUGUCUUCCCUCCAGUGGUUAUAUUUUUAAAUGGAAUAGCCCUUAUCAACAUUUUUAGCUGGACUAUUUGAAUAAUAAGGAGAGCUAUACCACUCGCCUCAGCAUCUGCUUUGGCUUUAGCGUCCGGUUAAAGUUUAAGACCAAGUUGGGAUUUUCACUCAUAACUGCAAAACCCUUCAUUAAAGUCACUUAAUACUCCAUACAGUUGUUCAGGGUCAUUACAUAAUGAGGUUAAUACUUCAAUAGCCUUCAUUCAAUGGACUUAAUACCUUGCACAAUUAAUGAUGAACAUCUUGCAAUAAGGUGACAUAACUCCAUUUUAACCCUAAAUACAAAUUAUUGCCCUUUUUUCAUUUUUAUUUCUUAUGUCAGGCAUAUUUAUAUAUUCUUAACAGGUUUUUUGAAAGCUAAUUGUUUGGGCGGUAUAUAUAUAUAUGUGACAAGUUAAUGGAGAGCUUUCAUUUGAAUGCCUUGGGCCCCUUAGGGUCAAUGUCACUGUUACUAAAAAAAUAUUACUUUUUGGUACUGAAUAACCUAAGUUAUGGUUGAUAUACUGUGACCAAACUUGAUAUAUAGGAAGAGUUUAUUGAGAACUUUCAUGAGAUUGUGUUUUGGGCGCAUAGGAUCUAGGUCACUGUUACAAAAAUAGAAGACAGCAGUUGAAACUUCUUCUGCCAAUCAUUAACAAAACAAGUAUUGUCACAUCACGAUUCUUGUUUACUUUUUAAAUUGAUUUUUCUAUUGCUUUUGACAAGCACAUAUUACAUCAUUAUGUAAGAAGAUACAUUGUUAAAAAUACAAAAAAUGUUAAUUUGAAUAAGAGUGUCACUUCUUUUAAAUUUGUAGCUGUUUACUUACCAUGAAUUUAUCUUUAAAUACAACUUGUAUUUUUUAUGUGUAGGGUACGAGUUGGACCAUUUUGAGAGAUUGUUUUAAAUAGCAUAUGCUAAAACAUACUGUGACUGUUGUUGCUGCCUUUUCAGGGCUCUCACUAGGCUGAAAAUUUUGGGAGAAGUGACUUCUCCCUUCAGUCAAUUUAGGGAGAAGUGGGGAGACUUUAGGGAGAAGUGAUGCUUUUUAUAACACCUGAUACAAAAACUAUGCCAUACCACACACCUCAGUUUAUAUUCACAUUCAAAUUGAUUGCUAUAACUAUAUAAAAUGUUCAUAAAAUAAUGUAUCAUUUUUAGCUCAGCAAGUGUAUUUGUCAAUGUCACAUAGUUUAUCUCCAAAUAGCAUCUAAAAUGAACCAAAAAAUACAUCUAAGGAUUUGAAAUAAUCAUAAUGACCUCAUAAAUGAACUGUCAAUAAAGUAGGUGGACGAAUCUUGUUUUGGUAUGUUCGGGGAUAGGGUACGAAUGUCACAUUCAGCUGUGCUGUUAUUUACUUGUUUCUGGCUAAAUAAUUUUAAAUAUGCUGACAUUUAAGAACCAAAUGACAUUUAAAUCAGUGUCCUUGAUGAAAAAUUUACCAAUACAUAAUGGGAAGUUGAAAAAUUAACUCGGAAAAUUGUUCUGACAAAAUGGCGAUCUCGCCGAUUUUUUUUUGACAUCGUAACUGUGACAGGAGAAAAUUACUGUAAGUAAACUCUACAUAAAGCAAAAAAAUAAUAUUUUUUUGUGUUUACAAAUCAUUUUUUAUCAUGAACAUUUCACUAAAACCAAUCAAAUAUUUGGUGAUACGUCAUGUUAUUGAUUUUCUUAGCGCCUACUUGCCGAUGGCCCGAGAUGGCUAUGACCGUCUGCUUCAAAAGCAACAAUGUUUAAAUGUCUUGCAUUGUUUGUUCAAUACAUAUAUUAAUUACUUUUUAACUUAAAUUAAUGCUUGACACAAUAUUUCAUAAUUAUGUCUCCAAUUCUAUCUCAUUUUAACGAACUUAUAUCAUUUGAUCAGGGUCUUCUGAAUGUACAUUCUGAUUGGUUAACUUUCAAUAGCUCCGCCUACUGGCGAUGUUUUGGUAAUUGGAUGACACGGCCCAAUUAUCGGAUUAGGAGAUUACCAAUUUGUAUGAAUGGCUUAUUGUGAUGGUUUGACUAAUGGGACAUUGGCCAAAUACUCGCUGAUUGACAGAUUUACAAUGUGCUAAAAUUUUCGGCGAAGUCAAUGUCGCUUUGAUGAUACAAAUGGGCGAAGUCUGGGAAUUUUAGGCGACCACUUCGCCCAAGUAGCCCCCUCGCGAGAGCCCUGCUUUUGAUUUUAUGAAAAGUAUUGCUUUAUUAUUUUUUUAAAUUCAAUAUUCUUAAGCUCCUUCUAAUUCUUGUCGGGUAAUUUUUAAAUCAAAUUAAUUGUUAAAGUGACACUCUUAUUCAAAAUCAAUGCAUACACAUGUAUAACAAACAUACAUUUUGAGUGAUAAACCUUUAACUACUUACUAAAUAAUGCAUUGAUGGAACAUAUUUAUUACUGGUAACAAGUUUGUAACCCUGUAUUUAAUAACAGAAAACGCAAAAAUAUUAAAUGAUUGGUGAAUGCUAAAAGAUUUACUGUGAUCUACUUUAAUAGUCUCAUAAUGUAGAUACACCAUGUUUCAUGCACAUUUCUUUCAAAUCAAACUCGGUAUCCUUCAUGAGAACCAUUGCUUUCAACAUUCAUUCAUCCUUUUCGCAAUAUUAAAACAAUAGUAUUAGUAGUGGUAAACCUUUUUGGGAGUAAGAGUGCAUCUUUAAAAAAUGUGUUUAAUGUGGAUAUAUUAUGAUCUGUGUGUCUUUGCAUGGAUGCACUUGCUAGUAUUGCCUAAGAAUUUGACCUCUGAUAUUUUAUGUAGUAGUUAGAUGAUAUGAAGUAAAUUCUGUCAGAGUUAGUGGAACUAAUGAUCCAUUCUUAAUCAUUGAAAUGUACUAAAAGGGCAUCUCACAGUCUUAUGUCUUUGUAUGCCUUUGAGGUUAUGUCUCCACAAAUCUUUAUCAUGGCCUGACAGUCUGCUUUCUUUAAUUUGUGUCUUUGUAUUAAAAAUAUGUAUUAUUUUUUGAUACAUAUUUUAUUUAUAGUACUGCAUUUAUCUCCUAUCGAUUUUCAUGUUUUAUGUAACUUGAAACUUCCAUUAAGUUGUAAAAACAUUAAAUCUGUGAGAGUGUAGCUUUAAGAGAAGCAUUAGUGAUUUUAGCAUCAAACUUGUUUUAUAUGUUCUUUUUAAGUUCUAGGUUAUUCUGUAAUCAUUAACCAUAAUUGUGCCAUAGAUAGACCUGUGGAAAUUAUUAUAAUCUACUAUGUUAUAUUAUUGAAUAAAAUACUGAACAUGUUA